ACUUCUGAAGAAGGGAUGAGCGCAGCUUCCUUCUUCAGGAAAUGUAAGCAAACAUGGAGUAAAGUCAGAUUUUAGCAGUUGUAUAAUUUAUAUUUUGUGUUUAGCAAAAGACCACGAGCCAUUUCUC